rnacentral:rRNA from 1 species
AUACCCUAUUAUUUUUAUAGUAAAAUUAUAAAAUCAGAGUAGUAGUAGUUAUGAUCUUGAAACUUAAAGAAUUUGGCGGUAUUAUAGUCUAUUUAGAGGAAUCUGUUAUGUAAUCGAUAGCCCACGUUGAACCUUACUUAUAUUAUUUCUUGUAUACCGCUGUUUAAGAAUAUUCUUUUAGGAUAUUUUCCGGAUAUAAAAAUAAUUAAAAUUUCAAGUCAAGGUGCAGUAAUAUAUAAGUUGAAUAAUGGAUUACAAUAAAUUUUAUUUAUUAUGGAUAAUUAUUAAAAGGUAAUUUGAAGGUGGAUUUAAUUGUAAUUUUAUAAAGAUUAUUAAAAUGAUUUAUAGCUCUAUGAUAUGCACACAUCGCCC